rnacentral:rRNA from 1 species
UACGUAGGGUGCAAGCGUUUAAUCGGAAUUACUGGGCGUAAAGCGUGCGCAGGCGGUUUUGUAAGUCUGUCGUGAAAUCCCCCGGGCUCAACCUGGGAAUGGCGAUGGAGACUGCAAGGCUAGAGUUUGGCAGAGGGGGGUAGAAUUCCACGUGUAGCAGUGAAAUGCGUAGAUAUGUGGAGGAACACCGAUGGCGAAGGCAGCCCCCCUGGGUCAAAAACUGACGCUCAUGCACGAAAGCGUGGGGAGCAAACAGG